rnacentral:rRNA from 1 species
CAGCAGCCGCGGGAACACAGAGGGUGCGAGCGUUAAUCGGAUUUACUGGGCGUAAAGCGUGCGUAGGCGGCUUUUUAAGUCGGAUGUGAAAUCCCUGAGCUUAACUUAGGAAUUGCAUUCGAUACUGGGAAGCUAGAGUAUGGGAGAGGAUGGUAGAAUUCCAGGUGUAGCGGUGAAAUGCGUAGAGAUCUGGAGGAAUACCGAUGGCGAAGGCAGCCAUCUGGCCUAAUACUGACGCUGAGGUACGAAAGCAUGGGGAGCAAACAGGAUUAGAUACCCCCGUAGUCCCUGUCUCUUAUAA